rnacentral:rRNA from 1 species
AGCAGCCGCGGUAAUACGGAGGAUUCGAGCGUUAUCCCGGAUUUAUUGGGUUUAAAGGGUGCGUAGGCGGGCUAAUAAGUCAGUGGUGAAAUCACUCAGCUUAACUGAGUAACUGCCAUUGAUACUGUUAGUCUAGAAUAUAAAUGGUGCAGGCGGAAUGAAUCAUGUAGAGGUGACAUUCAUAGAUAUGAUUCAGAACACCGAUCGCGAAGGCAGCUUGCAAAGAUAUUAUUGACGCUGAGGCACGAAAGCGUGGGUAGCGAACAGGAUUAGAUACCCUGGUAGUCCACGCUGUAAACGAUGAUAACUCGUUGUCGGCGAUACACAGUCGGUGACUAAGGGAAACCGAUAAGUUAUCCACCUGGGGAGUACGAUCGCAAGGUUGAAACUCAAAGGAAUUGACGGGGGCCCGCACAAGCGGAGGAGCAUGUGGUUUAAUUCGAUGAUACGCGAGGAACCUUACCUAGACUUGAACGUAUAAGUGAUUAUUUAGAAAUAGAUAAGCUAGCAAUAGACUUUUACGAGGUGCUGCAUGGUUGUCGUCAGCUCGUGCCGUGAGGUGUCAGGUUAAGUCCUAUAACGAGCGCAACCCCUACACUUAGUUGCCAGCAUGUCAUGAUGGGGACUCUAAGUGGACUGCCAGCGCAAGCUGCGAGGAAGGUGGGGAUGACGUCAAAUCAGCACGGCCCUUACGUCUAGGGCGACACACGUGCUACAAUGGUAGGUACAGAGGGCAGCUACACAGCGAUGUGAUGCCAAUCUCAAAAGCCUAUCUCAGUUCGGAUCGGAGUCUGCAACCCGACUCCGUGAAGUUGGAUUCGCUAGUAAUCGCAGAUCAGCCAUGCUGCGGUGAAUACGUUCCCGGGCCUUGUACACACCGCCCGUCAAGCCAUGGAAGCUGGGGGUACCCUGAAGUAGCGUGACCGCAAGGAGC